CCUACGGGGGGCAGCAGUGGGGAAUAUUGGACAAUGGGGGGAACCCUGAUCCAGCCAUGCCGCGUGUGUGAAGAAGGCCCUCGGGUUGUAAAGCACUUUCAGUGAGGAAGAACGCCUGGUGGUUAAUACCCAUCAGGAAAGACAUCACUCACAGAAGAAGCACCGGCUAACUCCGUGCCAGCAGCCGCGGUAAUACGGAGGGUGCGAGCGUUAAUCGGAAUUACUGGGCGUAAAGCGCGCGUAGGUGGCUUGAUAAGCCGGUUGUGAAAGCCCCGGGCUCAACCUGGGAACGGCAUCCGGAACUGUCAAGCUAGAGUGCAGGAGAGGACGGUAGAAUUCCCGGUGUAGCGGUGAAAUGCGUAGAGAUCGGGAGGAAUACCAGUGGCGAAGGCGGCCUUCUGGACUGACACUGACACUGAGGUGCGAAAGCGUGGGUAGCAAACAGGAUUAGAUACCCCGGUAGUC
rnacentral:rRNA from 1 species